rnacentral:sRNA from 1 species
ACGUAUCACUCGUACACGCCGCUUCUGAGCGCGCCGUCCACACCCGCCUGGCGGCGGCUCGCUCCAAUUUGUUCGCC